rnacentral:rRNA from 1 species
AUUGAACGCUGGCGGCAGGCCUAACACAUGCAAGUCGAACGGUAACAGGAAGCAGCUUGCUGCUUCGCUGACGAGUGGCGGACGGGUGAGUAAUGUCUGGGAAACUGCCUGAUGGAGGGGGAUAACUACUGGAAACGGUAGCUAAUACCGCAUAACGUCGCAAGACCAAAGAGGGGGACCUUAGGGCCUCUUGCCAUCGGAUGUGCCCAGAUGGGAUUAGCUAGUAGGUGGGGUAACGGCUCACCUAGGCGACGAUCCCUAGCUGGGCUGAGAGGAUGACCAGCCACACUGGAACUGAGACACGGUCCAGACUCCUACGGGAGGCAGCAGUGGGGAAUAUUGCACAAUGGGCGCAAGCCUGAUGCAGCCAUGCCGCGUGUAUGAAGAAGGCCUUCGGGUUGUAAAGUACCUUCAGCGGGGAGGAAGGGAGUAAAGUUAAUACCUUUGCUCAUUGACGUUACCCGCAGAAGAAGCGCCGGCUAACUCCGUG